rnacentral:lncRNA from 1 species
CCCGUACUGAAUCUUAAUCAGCGAGAGUUCGUCCGAGGUCAAAGAGCUAGGAAUGGUGUCUGGUACAAAGAUCGAAUGAGGUUCGACCCUAAGUAUGGGUUCAUCUACAGUAUUAGGAUUUUGGGGGGCUGGAGCUGACAAACUUCUAGAACUGCUAGAGAAGGAAGUGUUGGAGGAUAUUUUGAAUCAAAUAAAAACUCUAAAAAAUCUCAAAAAAAUUAGAAAAAAAUAGGAAACAAGGCGCUCGUGGAGAAACCGAAUGGACAGAA